rnacentral:rRNA from 2 species
CUUUCUAUUAAACCUAGCGGCGGACGGGUGAGUAACGCGUGGAUAAUCUGCCUGUAAGACCGGGAUAACGCCGGGAAACCGGUGCUAAUACCGGAUAAGCUCACAGUCCCGCAUGGGGCAGUGAGAAAAGGUGGCCUCUGUUUCAAGCUACCACUUACAGAUGAAUCCGCGUCCCAUUAGCCAGUUGGUGGGGUAACGGCCUACCAAAGCGACGAUGGGUAGCCGGCCUGAGAGGGUGACCGGCCACACUGGAACUGAGACACGGUCCAGACUCCUACGGGAGGCAGCAGUGGGGAAUCUUCCGCAAUGGGCGAAAGCCUGACGGAGCAACGCCGCGUGAGCGAAGAAGGCCUUCGGGUUGUAAAGCUCUGUGAUAUCAGACGAACGUUCUUCCUGCGAAGAGUGGGAAGGAAUGACGGUAUGGUAAGAGGAAGCCCCGGCUAACUACGUGCCAGCAGCCGCGGUAACACGUAGGGGGCGAACGUUGUCCGGAAUGACUGGGCGUAAAGGGCGAGUAGGUGGUUUGCCAAGUCAGGAGUGAAAACUCCGGGCUCAACCUGGAGAUUGCUACUGAAACUGGCAGACUUGAGUGCAGGAGAGGGAAGCGGAAUUCCUAGUGUAGCGGUGAAAUGCGUAGAUAUUAGGAGGAACACCGGUGGCGAAGGCGGCUUCCUGGCCUGUAACUGACACUGAGGCGCGAAAGCGUGGGGAGCGAACAGGAUUAGAUACCCUGGUAGUCCACGCCGUAAACGAUGAGUGCUAGGUGUUGGGGGUAUCGACCCCCUCAGUGCCGCAGUAAAUGCAAUAAGCACUCCGCCUGGGGAGUACGGUCGCAAGACUGAAACCCAAAGGAAUUGACGCGGGCCCGCACAAGCGCUGGAGUAUGUGGUUUAAUUCGACGCACGCGAAGAACCUUACCAAGGCUUGACAU